rnacentral:rRNA from 1 species
AGCAGCCGCGGUAAUUCCAGCUCCAAUAGCGUAUAUUAAAGUUGUUGCAGUUAAAAAGCUCGUAGUUGAAUUUCGGGGUUAGUAAGUUGGUCAUGCCUUCGGUAUGUACUGGCUUUACUGAUUCCUCCUUCUUGACGAACCGUGAUGUCAUUAAUUUGGUGUUGCGGGAAAUCAGGACUGUUACUUUGAAAAAAAUUAGAGUGUUUAAAGCAGGCUAACGCUUGAAUACAUUAGCAUGGAAUAAUGAAGUAGGACGUUAAUCCUAUUUUGUUGGUUUCUAGGAUCGACGUAAUGAUUAAUAGGGAUAGUUGGGGGCAUUAGUAUUCAAUUGUCAGAGGUGAAAUUCUUGGAUUUAUUGAAGACUAACUACUGCGAAAGCAUUUGCCAAGGAUGUUUUCAUUAAUCAAGAACGAAAGUUAGGGGAUCGAAGACGAUCAGAUACCGUCGUAG